rnacentral:tRNA from 1 species
CGGAGAGGUGGCCGAGUGGCCGAAGGCACCCGCCUGCUAAGCGGGGGUACGAUGUGAGUCGUACCGAGGGUUCGAAUCCCUCCCUCUCCGCCAU